rnacentral:tRNA from 1 species
GCCGGUGUGGCUCAGUGGGUAGAGCGUCGGCCUGCGGGCUGAGGGGUCCCAGGUUCGAUUCUGGUCAAGGGCA